rnacentral:rRNA from 1 species
CGUAGGGUGCAAGCGUUGUCCGGAAUUAUUGGGCGUAAAGAGCUCGUAGGCGGUUUGUCGCGUCUGCUGUGAAAAUCCAGGGCUCAACCCUGGACCCGCAGUGGGUACGGGCAGACUAGAGUGCGGUAGGGGAGAUCGGAAUUCCUGGUGUAGCGGUGAAAUGCGCAGAUAUCAGGAGGAACACCGGUGGCGAAGGCGGAUCUCUGGGCCGUAACUGACGCUGAGGAGCGAAAGCAUGGGGAGCGAACAGGAUUAGAUACCCUGGUAGUCCAUGCCGUAAACGUUGGGCGCUAGGUGUGGGGCUCAUUCCACGAGUUCUGUGCCGCAGCAAACGCAUUAAGCGCCCCGCCUGGGGAGUACGGCCGCAAGGCUA